CCAAGCCAUCCAGAGUGCCUUAGUUACGCAUAUGCGAAGGGGGUCUAGAAAUAUUUAGCUGAAAGCAGAUAAAAGCUCGGAGCAGGCAAAAACGAUGCUGUCACUAAUAUUUGAGUGAAAGGUCAGGAAAAUUAUGUUUCAAAGCUCCAAGCCAUCCAGAGUGCCUUAGUUACGCAUAUGCGAAGGGGGUCUAGAAAUAUUUAGCUGAAAGCAGAUAAAAGCUCGGAGCAGGCAAAAACGAUGCUGUCACUAAAAUUUGAGUGAAAGGUCAGGAAAAUGAUUUUUUAAGCUCCAAGCCAUCCAGAGUGCCUUAGUUACGCAUAUGC